rnacentral:lncRNA from 1 species
GAAAACCUCAUUUCAAGCUGAAAACUGCUUGGGAUUUCAAUGUUGACAAUGAAAAUAUUGUUUGUGGAAUUGCUGAAUGCUCAGGUAAUCUCUAUAAAGCAACAGCCUACUCGAGCAACUAGUAGACCAAGAGUAAAGGAGUAAUACAGUGACAUCAUUCUUCACUUAUUACAGCCUUUUCCAUCUAUGUACGUACUGAAAAAGAAGAAAAGAACUGUGAGAUGUAGUUGUUUCUGUCAUCUCCCAACCUGAUUUCAGAACACACACAGGUUUCCUUUUUCUCAUUUAUAAUUUGGUGGUAUUCAAAAGGCAUAAUAUCUCAGGCAGUGCAGAAGAUGUGAUCGAAGGAUUAUUUCUACUCAGCCUUUAUGUUCAUGUAAUGAAAGGUGUGAAGCACCACCAGAGAAUGAAGGAAAAGCUUCCUUGGACAUUAAUAGGUUGACUGCUAUGUCGCUGAACUUGGUGCAUGAAAGGUCAGCCUUUGAAACGCUAAAUAAGUUGAAGAAGAUUAUAAAGUAUAUAUGGAAAAGUAUGCAUCCUACAGUAGCAUUUGUAUUAAAGGACCGCUUUGUGGGAGGAGGAAGAAGAUGAGACUGUGCUGGUGUGGGAAAGCAGCACUAAGUGUCUUGCAGAACUUUUAUGACCUUUCCAAGGAAUAUUGCUCCCACAGCCUCUUCCCUGCUGAAGCUGCAGGAAGGAGUUUGCUCAGCCUCACAUCCAGGAGUUCAUCAAUGCAAUGACAUUUCCAGGCAGUGGGGUGGAUGCCCUGAACCCACCAGUCCCAUUCUGGCAUGCACACCUAAUCUCCCUAGCAACAAAGAUGACAGCUUGGUAACAGCAGCUGCUGCUUAAUGGAAAAAAUAAGAAAAAUAACUCAUUCUAGAUCUAUAUUCUUUCUUUUCAUUUUCAUACUUAUCACAAAUUAAAGUGUUCCAAGAAAAAAUAAAAUCUAGAACUUUAAAAAGCUUUGAGGUGUG